UGGGGAAUAUUGGACAAUGGGCGAAAGCCUGAUCCAGCAAUGCCGCGUGAGUGAUGAAGGCCUUAGGGUUGUAAAGCUCUUUUACCCGGGAUGAUAAUGACAGUACCGGGAGAAUAAGCUCCGGCUAACUCCGUGCCAGCAGCCGCGGUAAUACGGAGGGAGCUAGCGUUGUUCGGAAUUACUGGGCGUAAAGCGUACGUAGGCGGUUACUCAAGUCAGAGGUGAAAGCCCGGGGCUCAACCCCGGAACUGCCUUUGAAACUAGGUAGCUAGAAUCUUGGAGAGGUCAGUGGAAUUCCGAGUGUAGAGGUGAAAUUCGUAGAUAUUCGGAAGAACACCAGUGGCGAAGGCGACUGACUGGACAAGUAUUGACGCUGAGGUACGAAAGCGUGGGGAGCAAACA
rnacentral:rRNA from 1 species